rnacentral:lncRNA from 1 species
AGACACAUUGAACACCCAAUCCCUCCCCUGCUGGACUGGUGUGUAACUGCCUCAACCCAAAUUAUUGUCGGCGUCCGUUCGUGUUCCAAAGUACAACAGCUCGAGCCUGAGACAGCUGGGGACCGGUUCCUACUGCGUUCUCGGCGUGAUGGAAAACAGCAGAGUCAUGAACCUCGCCAACACAGACCCACUAGCGCGCCCGUGACACCAAAUACCUCAAGACGACGCGCGCCGGUGGUUCAACGAAAUCUGUCGAUUGUUCUUAGCCUUCAGCACCGCGUUCACUCUUCCGAAAAACAAAUCGCUUUGUGAGCAAGCAAACGGAACUCGACCUAUCACAGCACAGAGUUCUUCUGUUCGUGCAGUGGGAGAGCAAGCAUUUGAAAUGGCGAGACGCCAACCGCUCGAAUCGCGCCAAGAGUGGCUACACCAUCAAAAAGCGUCCGAGUUCCCAGAGGCAAACACAAGGCCCAGGGAGAAGGACGCGCCCUCCGCGACUGUUGGGUCGACAGCGAGAAUCCAAAAGGGCCGCCCCCGGUGGAGCCGCUAGGACUGUCACGUUUGUUCCUCCCACUGUUGUAUCUGAGUCGCGUUUUGGUUCUCAGACUUUCCGUCUCUGCUUCCCCUUCCCUUCCACCCCCUCUUCCGCUGAUUCUCUCCCUCGGGCAUGUCUCACCUAAAGUUCAGGGUCUUGGGCUUCAGGCAGAGCAUGUUUGGAAGAGGGACCGAGGCAUUUCCGGCAGCCGCCAUCUCCUCCAUCAACGCUCCGCCGUGACGCCCCUCCAGUCCCGCGCCUCGUCCAGUCCGAGCCGCCUCGCGGCUGGUGCUUCCACGGGAACCGGGAGCGCCUUCGUUGUCAUCACAAAUGCCUCGACUCUCGGCUGUGGCCCCACGUGCCCCGGGCGACGACUCUCGGGACGCGUCGGUGUCGCUCGAGUGAGCGGGACGCAACGGCGAGGCACGUGGACAGAGAGAGGGCGAGGGCGAGGAAGGAGACGCAGUCAGAAGCACGGUCGGAAAGCCAAGCGAAGGCGCAGCGGAAGAGCGGAAACCAGCCGCGGAGGACGAACGGGGCGCGGGCGGCGAGGAAGAGGCAGCCGUCUUCAGACAGCGCAUGGACUUGUCGAUCGCCUCACCGACAGCGUCGUCUUCCGUCUGGCCAGUGUAGAUACACUGGAGGCCGCUGACACACCCAUCGGGGUUGGCCGCUUCCGGGUCCUCCCAGGUUCCCCAGACUUCCACGAGAGCGUCCCGGGAAACGUUCCCAGAGAGAAGGUGCCCGUGAAGGUGAUUGACGGCCACCACGAGUGGAGGCCGUCCUCGAGACAACUUCUCGUCUGCCUGCCAUUCCGAAUCUCGGAGGCUACCGCCGUUCUCCGCCACUACCGAUGGCGCCCGCGCGAGAGAGGACGCGUCGUCAGACAACGACGAAACGCUCGACGGAUUCGCGAACAGCUUCGCCUCCGCAUCUGCCCACGCCUCGGUCAGCUCGCCCGCAAUCUCCAGAGCCGCGGAAGCGCCAACCGAGAGACACGGAACGAUCCCCGGCCCUCGCGUGAAGGCAAUGAUGUCGAUAUCGAGCAGCGAGACACCUGGGAGAAAACCGGACAAGAGACUCUACGUGUGCACAAGGCAGGGGGAACAGUCAAGCGGGACGGCAGUCUGUCCUAUUGGUGCGAGCAACUGACAAGGGACGAACUGUAGCCUUCAACGCGAGACGGCACAAACUCAGGUCUGCCUACAUCUCCUGUAGAAUUGCCGUGCAGACGUCGUGAACUCAAAGCCAGCCACUAUUUCGGUCUACGACUCGCUGGCAAGCGGCAGGUGUUCCGCAAUCAUCUUACAGAGUCGCUCCGCCCGACGUGCAUAUACAUAAAAAUGUGUGCAGGAAAGGGUUCGGCCCUCCCUUGUGUGUUCCGUGAAGAGGUUGGGUCUGUCUCAUGUAUGCGCCGUUGAGCGUUCAUGCCCGUGUCUCUGUCUACACUGUCUGAAUACGGAGUUUACUGGCGGUGAGAGUGGAUGUUCGUGGCCAUCCAAGCAUGUGCAAACCCGGCGUUGCGACAAGGCAAUUUUCGUCGCUACUGUCCAAGACGAAAGGCGGUCAUAGAAGCAACCUCUGUAUCGCACUGUGCAUCCUUGAGACCGGCCACUGCCAAAUUCUGACGAGGCCGCAUGAAAAACCAUGGUAACGGUUCUCCCCAGUCAAACAGCGGUCAGCCCUUGCGCGGCUUCCGGGAAACUUACCAGCCUCCUGAAGAGCAUUCCUCACAAC